UGGAACAUUUAUCAGGAGAGCUUUGCUGGU
rnacentral:piRNA from 1 species